UAAAGAGGAAAUCCUCUAAUGAAUUAAUGUUUACUACGAGACUGGCGCCGAAGUAAAGGCGAAGUAUUAUCUGGAAAACAUUUUCGAAGCUGCUUUGGAGUCGUUGGUAAGCAAAAAUUUCGGUCGUAGACCAUGAACGUGCCAACAAGACUGGAUACCGUGACGCCAAAGCAUAUGUAAACCAAGAAUGGUUAAAAAAAAUCAUGUUCCGCCCUUCAUUUCGUCUUUCCAAUUUGCCAGAUGCCAAUCAAUCCGAUGAACUUUUUAUCCAGGGCAUUUUAGAGAGCAAUGCUCAAAAAUUCAAACUGGGAAAUCGGGUUAUAUGGCAUCUAUAUCAAGUUACAUACCAAUUUAGACCAUACUUGGAAUAGUUGUUGGGAGUCAUACCAACUCAUACGCAAAAUUUCAACCGUAUUGGAUAAGAAUUGCGUCCUCUAGAAGCCCAAGAAGUCUUAUCGGAAGAUCGUUUUAUAUGGCGGCUAUAUCGGGAUAUGGAUUGAUUUAGACCAUACACAGUUGUUGGAAAUCAAAAUAAAACACUUCAUACAAAAUUUUUAGAAGCUCAAAAA